UACGUAGGGGGCAAGCGUUGUCCGGAAUCAUUGGGCGUAAAGCGCGUGUAGGCGGCCCGGUAAGUCCGCUGUGAAAGUCGGGGGCUCAACCCUCGAAUGCCGGUGGAUACUGUCGGGCUAGAGUGCGGGAGAGGCGAGUGGAAUUCCUGGUGUAGCGGUGAAAUGCGCAGAUAUCAGGAGGAACACCAAUUGCGAAGGCAGCUCGCUGGAACGUAACUGACGCUGAGGAGCGAAAGCGUGGGGAGCAAACAGG
rnacentral:rRNA from 1 species